GCGGGGCCUGAGGAUGCCCCACCUGGGUCCCUUCCCGAAUCCGAGCGCUCUCUCUGUUUGCAGGGACAGGGUUCCAAAGAGAUUUCCAGCGUCUGCACGUGAGACUCCGCCCCCUGGAACAAAGGCCGUGGGGGCGGGGGGCGGUGGAUACUGAGCAACUCAGGACGGGGACCUCCCAAGGCCCUAGGCCUGAGCAAAAGCCAGAAAGCAUUUGCAAGGGAAGUUCCUCUGGGUGCCACCCCCCGAGGGACCAGAUGAAGCCUGAUCUCUAAAAUUCUGCUGUUCCUAGUAUGCCUGUUUGCCAGGCGGGCUGCUGUAGGACGCUGGUUCUAUUAUGGUUGCAGAAGACGUUCUGAAAGCCCUCAGCCAGGGGCCACGGGAGUGGGGACCUGAGUCCUGCCUGUCGGAGUCCGGGGCCCAGAGCCCUGGAUGCCUCUCAACACUCCUGCCUUCAUCCAGG